rnacentral:misc_RNA from 1 species
AACAAGGCGUACCUGCGGACCUGCGGAGGGAUCAUUACCGAGUGUGGUCCCAUAUAAGGGGCGCCUCCCGUCCUUUGCAGGGCCUUUAGGGGCUUUUUGACUUUGCUUCGGCGGGCUUGCCCCGCCGGAACACCCUCAAGAAAAUCUUUAUGAACCGUUUGUCUGAGUUGCUUGUGAAUAAAAACAAAACUUUCAACAACGGAUCU